rnacentral:rRNA from 1 species
UACAGAGGGGGCAAGCGUUGUUCGGAAUUACUGGGCGUAAAGGGCGCGUAGGCGGCCUUCUAAGUCGAACGUGAAAUCCCCGGGCUCAACCCGGGAACUGCGUCCGAUACUGGAAGGCUUGAAUCCGGGAGAGGGAUGCGGAAUUCCAGGUGUAGCGGUGAAAUACGUAGAUAUCUGGAGGAACACCGGUGGCGAAGGCGGCAUCCUGGACCGGCAUUGACGCUGAGGCGCGAAAGCCAGGGGAGCAAACGGG